GAUGAACGCUGGCGGCGUGCCUAACACAUGCAAGUCGAACGAACAGAUGAGGAGCUUGCUCCUCUGACGUUAGCGGCGGACGGAUGAGUAACACAUGGAUAACAUACCUAUAAGACUGGGAUAACUACGGGGAACCGGAGCUAAUACCGGAUAAUAUAUUGAACGGCAUGGUUCAAUAGUGCAAGGCGGUUUUGCUGUCACUUAUAGAUGGAUCCGCGCCGCAUUGGCUGGUUGGUAAGGUAACGGCUUACCAAGGCAACGAUGCGUAGCCGACCGGAGAGGGUGAUCCGCCACACUGGAACUGAGACACGGUCCAGACUCCUACGGGAGGCAGCAGUAGGGAAUCUUCCGCAAUGGGCGAAAGCCUGACGGAGCAACGCCGCGUGAGUGAUGAAGGUCUUCGGAUCGUAAAACUCUGUUAUUAGGGAAGAACAACUGUGUAAGUAACUAUGCCCGUCUUGACGGUACCUAAUCAGAAAGCCCCGGCUAACUACGUG
rnacentral:rRNA from 1 species